GCUGGGCGUGGUGGCACAUGCCUAUAGUGCCAGCUACUGAGGAGACUGAGGUAGGAGGAUCACUUGAGCCCAGUUCUGAGCCGUGUGCUAUGCCAAUCAGGUGUCCACACUAAAUUCAGCAUCAAUAUGGUGACCUCCGGCAGUGGGAGACCACCAGGUUGCAGUUGCCUAAGGAGGGGUAAACAGGCCCACGUCAGAAACAGAGCAGGUCACAACUCUCAUGCUGAUCAGUAGAGGGAUCACAUCUGUGAAUAGUCACUGUACUCCAGCCUGGACAACACAGUGAGACCCCAUCUCU
rnacentral:SRP_RNA from 1 species